rnacentral:misc_RNA from 1 species
AAAUACAAUCAUUGAGUCUGUCCAUUAUACAUCAUAAUUUGCCUUUUCACAAUACAAUACUCUGCACACGGAAAUGGUUAGGCAAGCCCACUUUGUACAACAAAAAAUACAUUUCCAAGCUGUGCAUGGCUACCAGGAAGUGAGCAAAACCAUAAACUGCACUAACACGAAAUAACUACGCACUCACAUACUCGAUAUUAGGAAAGAUAAGCAUAACUGGUCUGACUUCCGAGUACAAAAUUUUGGCGGUCAUUCACUAUAUAAGUUCUGUUUGGCUGAACUUGUACUUGAGGUGCAUUUUGAUUGUCGUUUGUACUGUGAUCUAUAGCUUCAACUAGCUGUAAUCCAAGAGGUCACUCGUCUGGAUGUUAUGUACUUGUUCAUAGAGCAACUUGUUAGUCUUCCUAUCACCAUCUAGGUUCAUGGUUGCCACCCUUUUGUCUCUUAUCAGCAUCACGUCUCGUCCUAGGUGGAGUAGCAGGUGUCCA